rnacentral:rRNA from 1 species
AUUGAACGCUGGCGGCAGGCCUAACACAUGCAAGUCGAGCGGAUGAAGGGAGCUUGCUCCUGGAUUCAGCGGCGGACGGGUGAGUAAUGCCUAGGAAUCUGCCUGGUAGUGGGGGAUAACGUCCGGAAACGGGCGCUAAUACCGCAUACGUCCUGAGGGAGAGAGUGGGGGAUCUUCUGACCUCAAGCUAUCACAUGAGCCAAGGUCGGAUUGGCUAGUUGGUGGGGUAAAGGCCUCCCCAGGCGACGAUCCGUAACUGGUCUGAGAGGAUGAUCAGUCACACUGGAACUGAGACACGGUCCAGACUCCUACGGGAGGCAGCAGUGGGGAAUAUUGGACAAUGGGCGAAAGCCUGAUCCAGCCAUGCCGCGUGUGUGAAGAAGGUCUUCGGAUUGUAAAGCACUUUAAGUUGGGAGGAAGGGCAGUAAGUUAAUACCUUGCUGUUUUGACGUUACCAACAGAAUAAGCACCGGCUAACUUCGUG